CGUUGGAAGUUUGAGGAGAGCUGCUCCUAGUACGAGAGGACCGGAGUGGACGAACCACUGGUGUUCGGGUUGUGUCGCCAGACGCAUUGCCCGGUAGCUAAGUUCGGACGGGAUAACCGCUGAAAGCAUCUAAGCGGGAAGCCCCCUUCAAGAUGAGACUUCCCUUGGCCUUCGAGGCCACAUAAGAGACGUUGAAGACUACGACGUUGAUAGGCUGGGUGUGUAAGCGUUGUGAGGCGUUGAGCUAACCAGUACUAAUGACUCGA
rnacentral:ncRNA from 1 species